rnacentral:rRNA from 1 species
GAUGAACGCUGGCGGCGUGCCUAAUACAUGCAAGUCGAGCGAACGGACGAGAAGCUUGCUUCUCUUAUGUUAGCGGCGGACGGGUGAGUAACACGUGGAUAACCUACCUAUAAGACUGGGAUAACUUCUGGAAACCGUAGCUAAUACCGGAUAAUAUUUUGAACCGCAUGGUUCAAAAGUGAAAGACGGUCUUGCUGUCACUUAUAGAUGGAUCCGCGCUGCAUUAGCUAGUUGGUAAGGUAACGGCUUACCAAGGCAACGAUGCAUAGCCGACCUGAGAGGGUGAUCGGCCACACUGGAACUGAGACACGGUCCAGACUCCUACGGGAGGCAGCAGUAGGGAAUCUUCCGCAAUGGGCGAAAGCCUGACGGAGAAACGCCGCGUGAGUGAUGAAGGUCUUCGGAUCGUAAAACUCUGUUAUUAGGGAAGAACAUAUGUGUAAGUAAAUGUGCACAUCUUGACGGUACCUAAUCAGAAAGCCACGGCUAACUACGUG